rnacentral:rRNA from 1 species
GACGAACGCUGGCGGCGUGCUUAACACAUGCAAGUCGAACGGAAAGGCCCUGCUUUUGUGGGGUGCUCGAGUGGCGAACGGGUGAGUAACACGUGAGUAACCUGCCCUUGACUUUGGGAUAACUUCAGGAAACUGGGGCUAAUACCGGAUAGGAGCUCCUGCUGCAUGGGGGGGGUUGGAAAGUUUCGGCGGUUGGGGAUGGACUCGCGGCUUAUCAGCUUGUUGGUGGGGUAGUGGCUUACCAAGGCUUUGACGGGUAGCCGGCCUGAGAGGGUGACCGGCCACAUUGGGACUGAGAUACGGCCCAGACUCCUACGGGAGGCAGCAGUGGGGAAUAUUGCACGAUGGGCGGAAGCCUGAUGCAGCAACGCCGCGUGCGGGAUGACGGCCUUCGGGUUGUAACCCGCUUUCGCCUGUGACGAAGCGUGAGUGACGGUAAUGGGUAAAGAAGCACCGGCUAACUACGUG